UUUCAAGUUUUUCUUUUUCCUAAUUCAUUGGUUUUGCUUCGUUUUCUUCAUCUCUCUUUUCUGUUCUGCUUAGUCCAAAACUACAAGUGCCUCCAGCCUUGAGCAUUUUCAGCUGCAAUGGCUUUCCGAGGGGAAGCAAAUUCAGACAGAAGAGGGAAAUGUAAAAAGAAAAAAACGUAAAAAUGAAAGAAGAUCUGGUCGAAUAUGAAAUACUUUAGGUGAUAUUAAUUUGAGGAAUAAGGAAUUCAAUUGUGCUGCUCAUAAUGAUCAUUUGCCUUACACUUUAAAGAUCUGGAGUUUGUUCUUUAAGGACUGCGGGGAGAUGUAGGGACUGAAAUUUGAAUCUGUUAGCAAUUCAUUAGCCGGCAAAGCCACGGCUACAAUUUGUGGAAAAUUAAUAUUUAGUUGGGUCAUUCGGCCAAAGUUCCGGCUAACGUUUCAUCUGGAAAGGUUGUUGCUAUUCAUAGCAAAAGCGCAUACCUGAGAACUGCUGAGAAUGAUUGUAGUCUUCUAGGUAUGCUGUUUAUGAUUUUGAUCUUGUGACCUGAGAACUGCCAAAAGAGCAAAAUCUUUUACAUUGCCUAGUUAGUUAUUUUAAUUCAUUCAAACAGCUGUUUCCUCGUUGGUUCAGUAAUUCGACUUAACAGUUUAGUUUUCUUGCCGUUAGAUCUCAGUUUCAAACCCUUACUGUUUGUAGUAAACGAGUAUUGUGCUCAUCUCUUAGAGUUCCAUUACCGUAUCUGCUCAGAUUCUGCUUUCGUUUCAUGUUACUUGACCAUUCCAAUUUUUAUUAUAUCAAACACCUUUCUUUAUGUGUUCAA